rnacentral:rRNA from 1 species
UACGUAGGCAGCAAACGUUGUUCGGAAUUACUGGGCGUAAAGCGUGCGCAGGCGGCUUUGCAAGACAGAUGUGAAAUCCCCGGGCUUAACCUGGGAACUGCAUUUGUGACUGCAUGGCUGGAGUGCGGCAGAGGGGGAUGGAAUUCCGCGUGUAGCAGUGAAAUGCGUAGAUAUGCGGAGGAACACCGAUGGCGAAGGCAAUCCCCUGGGCCUGCACUGACGCUCAUGCACGAAAGCGUGGGGAGCAAACAGG